GUUAAAUAUUGUCUCCCCCACCCCUUUAAAAAUAUGCCAUUGUGUUAUAAUAAGUCACUAUAUGUUGCCUGCUAUGAUUUGGCUGUUUGUAAUUUUAUAGAGUUUUCACAGCAUUGUUAUAUAAUGACCAUAUGGGCUAGUCCCAAGUAAAAUAAAGGUUUAGACAGUUCUGCUUGACCUCAAAACGAAGUGUUGUCUCGUUAUUUGGGGAAUUGGAUUGUAUGCUGAUUG